UGUGUGUGUGUGUGUGUGUGUGUGCUGUCUUUAGUACACACCCUCUUCCAUACACAUUUUCCUUUAACUAAAAUUAACUGCAACCUUUUCAGUUAACUCAAACAUUCAUUCUCUUCUCUGAACUGUUUGUUAUGUAAAACUGUCGUUGAUGAACUGUUGCUGCUAUGUCAAACUGUUGUUGUUGUAUGCUGCUACUACUGCAUUACUGUUUCUGCUGAUGUACUCAAUUAUUGUUUCUGCUAAUGUACUCAAUUACUGCUGAUGGAGUAUGUCAAAUUGCUGCUGCUAUGAAACAGUUUGAGUCAAAUUGAUGCUACUGCUGCUGCUACUCGAUUACUGCUUCUGGUCUUCUCAAUUACUCAAGUGAUCAAUUGAUUUGCAGGAGAAGGAGCAACAGCCAUGGAGUACUCCAGGAGCAGAUCAUGCCCAAAGGGACCACACCCAGGAGAUGGUCGUGGAUCAAACUGCUGCGCCCCGGGGCUGGUGCUUGUGAUGAGCGACGAGGAGAAGCAGGGACCUGGGAGCGCAUGGAUGAUGGAUGCGCGAAGGAUGAGCGCCUUGGACCUAGAUGAUGGAUUCGCCUGGGGCCUGGGAGCGACGGAGGAUGGACGCCUGGGAGUGCCGAGGAGAAGCGAUUUGAAAUCCUAGGAGCAAAGGGGGAAGACGACGAUGGGGAUAGCGAUUCAAAACAGGGGUAGCGUUGUAAAUUCCUUCAUUUCAAAACAGGGCCUCGAAAUGUUCUCUUCAACGCCAUAUAUUUCAAAACGGUGGGAGCAGUUUCAUGCCUAUAUUGAGCACCAUUGUGUCUCGCUCCCAUCACAAUUGAAUAUUUCUCCAUUGUAUUGUUAUCGUAUAUGAAUACGCAUGAUAAACCUGGAUUACUAUCGAUGCUUCAAAACAUUUGGACCGACACCCAUCAUACAAGUACUGCACAUGUUUCUACUGCUUUUGUACGCACAGAUCUAUUUAGCUAAGAAAAAAAAGGGCCCGCCAAAAAAUUGAAGUUCAGGACAGUCACAUAGUGUACUAGAGGCAAAAUGGUCUAUUUACCUCACACUGAACACCGUAAGUGACAAAAAUAGACUGAAAUGUCACCGAGGGAACAAAAUAAAGUUUUGAGUGUCAAAAUGGGAAGAACAAAUUGUUUUGGGCCAAAAAGGGAAGGGGAUUUUAAGAAUGGGACAAAAAGGGAAGGGGAUUUUAAGAAAGGCCAAAUAAAGAAUUCUCUCUCAAAUAUGCUACCACCCAAAAUGCACAGUAACAAAAUUGUGAGGCCCCUCAAGCGCUGUCAUGAACAACGUCCCACAAACACAAUGUCCAUACCAAAAAUCUACACCAUGUGACGAUUAUCAUGUGCCCAAACAGUGAUGAGAAAAUAAACAGAUAACUCUUGUUACAACUCUUGCCGCACAUGACUAACAAAAAUAAUAAGGCUAGUUUUUUUUUGCGUGUAAAAUAAUAAGGCUAGUGAAUAUAUUAAGUAGACUCGAAUUGUGAAGCGUCUUCAUAACAUGUGAGGCCAUACAUUAAUUUGCAGGUGCAGCUCCUGUAACCUCUGAUCUGCAUUUGCAAAACCAAUCUUUCAUCCAUUAGAGACAAAAUACUGGCACAAAAAUAGAAGACCGUCAUAAGAUGCUAACGAUGCUUGCUAUUCGAAUGAAGCUGUAACAAGAUCUCAAACGGAAGAAAAUAACAUCACCGUCACCUUAUAACAUACUCCCUCCGUUCAGAAAUAACAUAUUACAGGAGAUUAGUAAGCUAUGAAGGCCAUCUCCAAUGGACGUACGCUAAUUUAGAUGCACUCGCAUUUACAAUGCUAAGCACGUUAGCAUAGGCAAACUGCUGGUGUGGCAGCCACAACGUUGGGAUGAAAAAAAAUCCUUAUAACUAAUUAAAUACAUUACUUAUAAUAACUAAUUAAAUACAUUACUUAUAUAGAACCCAAUGCAUAAAAUACACAAGAAACAGACAGGCGCCAGGCACAAAAUUGAACGCCAGGUUUAGGGUGGAAAUAAAUUCUACACUAGCAAAACUACCGGGAUUAUUUCCCCUAGCAACAACCUUAAGCAUCCCAUUGGAGAUGGCCGAAGUGAUCAGAAGAGACGUGAGCACAUUUGUCCAUUCACAGCCUAGGACGUUCAUACAAAGAUUUAAAUCGCCGGCGAAAUCUGCCCGCGAUUUGCAUGGCUCGGUAAAUCGCCGGAGAUCGCGGCGCUAUCGCGGGCGAUUGUGCCAUUCCUUCGUUAACCGUCGCAGCAAAAAUCUCAGCUGCGAUUCACCUUCGCCCGCGAUUUUAAUCUAUGCGUUCAUACAUCCCAAUCCCACAAAACAAGAAAAUUAUUCUGAUAAAGCUUAACAUAACCAAGAAACCAGGCUCAACAUAACCAACAAACUAACAAGGUAUUGCAAUGUAAACAACUUUACACUAUACAAUAGCAUAUCAAAGAUUAAUCUUCUCUUUUUUCUCAAAAAAAUAAAUAAAUAAUCAUAACCCAUGCCAACAGGACUGUUGUUGAAUUAUAGUUCAGACAAGAUUGGUAUAUACUAUAUCUGAGGUGACAAGCUUAACAUCGCUUGAAAAUUCUUUCUAGUGAGUUAUCAUAGUAUAGCCAUAAGCCAAGCAUGCUGAACUGGCCAGAUCUUGUCAUAAGUUAUCUUCACCAUCACAUCCCCUAAUAUACACAGUUGUCAUAAAUGUUAACUACAAUGAUCAAAACAGUGGAUGCGAUCAUUUAACCAAUGACCACUGCAUUGACAGGUGUUCAAAUUGACCAUGUCAUCUCUAUUUAUACGUACUAAAUAAAAGCACACGAAAUAGCAGUCAUCUCCAACAAGCGACCAAAGGAGGGUUAGGUGGAUUGUGUAAUUGGUUGACUGGAACAGCAAGGAAGUCUCCUGGAGAGGCAAACAAACACAUCGCUCGAAUAAUUCUGAAGAUACCAAGCCAGACAAUGACAUAGCUAGCAUAAAUCCGUUUAGAACAAGGAUACAGGAUACAUGCCCAGUAGUGACAGCUAGUUGCGAGAACUGUGUCAGUGCACUGCAAGAACAUGUUGGAGAAAAUAACUGUACACAUUGAUUUUGUACAGUUUCGUAACCAUGAUUUUCUUAGCAACAGAACUCAAAAGUGUUAUUCUGGUCCACAAUGAUGCCAUGCAUGCCGCCCGAGCAUUGGAGUGCUAGUAUAUUUUGAACUGCAAAAACGUCUUAUAUAUUGGGACAGAGGUAGUACUAUCUAGACACUUCCAAGUCCUGAGAAAUGCAAGUUUGGCCUAAAUUGGGUACAUUUGUUUUCCCUCUUUUUUGCAGAUUGGGUGUAUUUGUUCUAACAAAACACAGCCAGCAUAUGCUGCUAGAAUUAAGGAUACCAAUCAUUAUUCCGUUUUAACUAUAGAGGGUAUAUGCCCUGUAGUGACAGCUAGUUGCAAGAACCAUGCCAGUGCACUGUACUCCAGGAGAAGAGUACAUGUUGGAGAAAUAACUGUAGACAAUUAUCUUGAAAAAGUUUCAUCAGCAAGAUUGUCUUAGCAACAAAAACCACAAGCAUUAUUCUGACCCACUAUUCGUGCCAUGCAUGCUGUCCGGGAAUUGGAAUGGUCGUAUAUGGCACCUUUAAUGAUACUACCUAGACAUUUCCUUGAGAUAUGAAGUUUAGUUGAAAAUGGGUAACUUUAUUAUGGCAUAUUUAUACUGAAGGGCCAGUAUAUAAUUGAAGAAUUUCCACAGCUUUUCACAGUUGGUUUGGUUCCAUGAUACUAUAACUGAAUUGGCAGAUGCCAACACCUACAACUCUUAAGCUCAAACAACACAGGGUUGCUAAAAAAUAGAAUGCUAAAUAUUAUUAGAUAGCCUUCUGUCUUGUUAUCAAAUUGGCGAUGCCAAAUGAUACUUAUUUGUCUUUGGCAAGAGGCUGAAUUUCAAAGGCCCAUGCGUUAAUCAUGAUUCAAUGAUUUGGACUUACUGUUAAAAAUAUCUGCCAAUUAAUCCCUGCUCGGUUGGUCACCAAGAUUAACAGAUUUAUCAGCCGAAGAAUUGGCCGAUUCGCCUACUAAUCCCCUACUCUCCAGCUUACCAAGAAGUUACCAGUUAAUGAUUUCCUGAACAUUAUUUUUUUUCAGUAGUUUAUAUAUGGAGGGAUCAAUCAAUGACAAAAGGUGUGUAUGUUAGUGCAGCAAAAGCAAAUGAAAACAGGGACACUUCUAGUUCAACCAAUGCUACCAUAGAAGCAUAUUUUAACUACAAAAUAAAUUUGCAUCACAUGAUCACAACAUAGAUUUCAGACUGAUUAUACACAAUUGUGUCACAACAUGUGUCAAGCUAAAGACAUGCAGAAGAAAAAACAUCUGCAAUUUUGUGAUUUAGGCCAAGGGAAGAAAAAACAUCUGCAAUUUUGUGAUUUAGGCCAAGGAACUAUUUCUGGGCAGGGAUAUAGGAAGGUACUGAUACUCUGUACCACAGCAUUACUCUAAACAUUUCUCAUUUUAAGGAAAAAAAAUCAACCUAUCAUGAUGUUCAAAUGAACCACGCACAUCAUGUUGCUAUCAUGGGCACCUUACAAGCUGAUGAAUAGGCAGCAAAUAGCAGCAUUUGUUUUUUUAGCGUACACCUCUAGAAAAUAAAGUGCAAUAACAGGACCAAUCAAUUCAGGAAUAGAACAUAAAAUUCCCAUAACAAAAAACUAAACACUAGAACAUGACAUGAUCAACCAUGGAAAGGCAAUUUAAUCAAUGUUUAGAGGGAUGAAAUCAGUUAUCAGACCCUUGUUCAGAUAGUACUUCAGCCUCAACUGCAGUAGGUUUCUUCCACACUCUGUCAGUACUCCUCUCCAGCACUUCGCCGUUCUCGUUCUCCUCGCCUUGGACUGGGGAAACCCUCCUCCCAGAGGACCUAACCUCAGGUGGUGCUUCACNNNNNNNNNNNNNNNNNNNNNNNNNNNNNNNNNNNNNNNNNNNNNNNNNNNNNNNNNNNNNNNNNNNNNNNNNNNNNNNNNNNNNNNNNNNNNNNNNNNNUGUGUGUGUGUGUGUGUGUGUGUGUGCUGUCUUUAGUACACACCCUCUUCCAUACACAUUUUCCUUUAACUAAAAUUAACUGCAACCUUUUCAGUUAACUCAAACAUUCAUUCUCUUCUCUGAACUGUUUGUUAUGUAAAACUGUCGUUGAUGAACUGUUGCUGCUAUGUCAAACUGUUGUUGUUGUAUGCUGCUACUACUGCAUUACUGUUUCUGCUGAUGUACUCAAUUAUUGUUUCUGCUAAUGUACUCAAUUACUGCUGAUGGAGUAUGUCAAAUUGCUGCUGCUAUGAAACAGUUUGAGUCAAAUUGAUGCUACUGCUGCUGCUACUCGAUUACUGCUUCUGGUCUUCUCAAUUACUCAAGUGAUCAAUUGAUUUGCAGGAGAAGGAGCAACAGCCAUGGAGUACUCCAGGAGCAGAUCAUGCCCAAAGGGACCACACCCAGGAGAUGGUCGUGGAUCAAACUGCUGCGCCCCGGGGCUGGUGCUUGUGAUGAGCGACGAGGAGAAGCAGGGACCUGGGAGCGCAUGGAUGAUGGAUGCGCGAAGGAUGAGCGCCUUGGACCUAGAUGAUGGAUUCGCCUGGGGCCUGGGAGCGACGGAGGAUGGACGCCUGGGAGUGCCGAGGAGAAGCGAUUUGAAAUCCUAGGAGCAAAGGGGGAAGACGACGAUGGGGAUAGCGAUUCAAAACAGGGGUAGCGUUGUAAAUUCCUUCAUUUCAAAACAGGGCCUCGAAAUGUUCUCUUCAACGCCAUAUAUUUCAAAACGGUGGGAGCAGUUUCAUGCCUAUAUUGAGCACCAUUGUGUCUCGCUCCCAUCACAAUUGAAUAUUUCUCCAUUGUAUUGUUAUCGUAUAUGAAUACGCAUGAUAAACCUGGAUUACUAUCGAUGCUUCAAAACAU
rnacentral:lncRNA from 1 species